rnacentral:rRNA from 1 species
AUGAACGCUGGCGGCGUGCUUAACACAUGCAAGUCGAACGAUGAAGCCCAGCUUGCUGGGUGGAUUAGUGGCGAACGGGUGAGUAACACGUGAGUAACCUGCCCUUGACUCUGGGAUAAGCCUGGGAAACUGGGUCUAAUACUGGAUAUGACUUCUCAUCGCAUGGUGGGGGGUGGAAAGAUUUAUUGGUCUUGGAUGGACUCGCGGCCUAUCAGCUUGUUGGUGAGGUAAUGGCUCACCAAGGCGACGACGGGUAGCCGGCCUGAGAGGGUGACCGGCCACACUGGGACUGAGACACGGCCCAGACUCCUACGGGAGGCAGCAGUGGGGAAUAUUGCACAAUGGGCGCAAGCCUGAUGCAGCGACGCCGCGUGAGGGAUGACGGCCUUCGGGCUGUAAACCUCUUUCAGUAGGGAAGAAGCGAGAGUGACGGUACCUGCAGAAGAAGCGCCGGCUAACUACGUG